GAUGAACGCUGGCGGCGUGCCUAAUACAUGCAAGUAGAACGCUGAAGGAGGAGCUUGCUCUUCUGGAUGAGUUGCGAACGGGUGAGUAACGCGUAGGUAACCUGCCUGGUAGCGGGGGAUAACUAUUGGAAACGAUAGCUAAUACCGCAUGACAACAGUUAUUGCAUGAUAACUGUUUAAAAGGGGCAACUGCUCCACUACCAGAUGGACCUGCGUUGUAUUAGCUAGUUGGUGAGGUAACGGCUCACCAAGGCGACGAUACAUAGCCGACCUGGGAGGGUGAUCGGCCACACUGGGACUGAGACACGGCCCAGACUCCUACGGGAGGCAGCAGUAGGGAAUCUUCGGCAAUGGACGGAAGUCUGACCGAGCAACGCCGCGUGAGUGAAGAAGGUUUUCGGAUCGUAAAGCUCUGUUGUAAGAGAAGAACGAGUGUGAGAGUGGAAAGUUCACACUGUGACGGUAGCUUACCAGAAAGGGACGGCUAGCUACGUG
rnacentral:rRNA from 1 species